rnacentral:rRNA from 1 species
CCUGAUGCAGCGACGCCGCGUGAGGGAUGACGGCCUUCGGGUUGUAAACCUCUUUCAGUAGGGAAGAAGCCGUAAGGUGACGGUACCUGCAGAAGAAGCGCCGGCUAACUACGUGCCAGCAGCCGCGGUAAUACGUAGGGCGCAAGCGUUAUCCGGAAUUAUUGGGCGUAAAGAGCUCGUAGGCGGUUUGUCGCGUCUGCUGUGAAAGACCGGGGCUCAACUCCGGUUCUGCAGUGGGUACGGGCAGACUAGAGUGCAGUAGGGGAGACUGGAAUUCCUGGUGUAGCGGUGAAAUGCGCAGAUAUCAGGAGGAACACCGAUGGCGAAGGCAGGUCUCUGGGCUGUAACUGACGCUGAGGAGCGAAAGCAUGGGGAGCGAACAGGAUUAGAUACCCUGGUAGUCCAUGCCGUAAACGUUGGGCACUAGGUGUGGGGGACAUUCCACGUUUUCCGCGCCGUAGCUAACGCAUUAAGUGCCCCGCCUGGGGAGUACGGCCGCAAGGCUAAAACUCAAAGGAAUUGACGGGGGCCCGCACAAGCGGCGGAGCAUGCGGAUUAAUUCGAUGCAACGCGAAGAACCUUACCAAGGCUUGACAUGAACCGGUAAUACCUGGAAACAGGUGCCCCGCUUGCG